rnacentral:rRNA from 1 species
GAUGAACGCGGGCGGCGUGCCUAAUACAUGCAAGUAGAACGCUGAAGCUUGGUGCUUGCACCGAGCGGAUGAGUUGCGAACGGGUGAGUAACGCGUAGGUGACCUGCCUCUUAGCGGGGGAUAACUAUUGGAAACGAUAGCUAAUACCGCAUAAAAGUCGAUAUCGCAUGAUAUUGAUUUGAAAGAUGCAAUUGCAUCACUAAGAGAUGGACCUGCGUUGUAUUAGCUAGUUGGUGAGGUAACGGCUCACCAAGGCGACGAUACAUAGCCGACCUGAGAGGGUGAUCGGCCACACUGGGACUGAGACACGGCCCAGACUCCUACGGGAGGCAGCAGUAGGGAAUCUUCGGCAAUGGGGGCAACCCUGACCGAGCAACGCCGCGUGAGUGAAGAAGGUUUUCGGAUCGUAAAGCUCUGUUGUAAGAGAAGAACGAGUGUGAGAGUGGAAAGUUCACACUGUGACGGUAACUUACCAGAAAGGGACGGCUAACUACGUGCCAGCAGCCGCGGUAAUACGUAGGUCCCGAGCGUUAUCCGGAUUUAUUGGGCGUAAAGCGAGCGCAGGCGGUUAGAUAAGUCUGAAGUUAAAGGCUGUGGCUUAACCAUAGUACGCUUUGGAAACUGUUUAACUUGAGUGCAGAAGGGGAGAGUGGAAUUCCAUGUGUAGCGGUGAAAUGCGUAGAUAUAUGGAGGAACACCGGUGGCGAAAGCGGCUCUCUGGUCUGUAACUGACGCUGAGGCUCGAAAGCGUGGGGAGCAAACAGG